rnacentral:rRNA from 1 species
GAUGAACGCUGGCGGCGUGCCUAAUACAUGCAAGUCGAGCGAACAGACGAGGAGCUUGCUCCCCUGACGUUAGCGGCGGACGGGUGAGUAACACGUGGAUAACCUACCUAUAAGACUGGGAUAACUUCGGGAAACCGGAGCUAAUACCGGAUAAUAUAUUGAACCGCAUGGUUCAAUAGUGAAAGACGGUUUUGCUGUCACUUAUAGAUGGAUCCGCGCCGCAUUAGCUAGUUGGUAAGGUAACGGCUUACCAAGGCGACGAUGCGUAGCCGACCUGAGAGGGUGAUCGGCCACACUGGAACUGAGACACGGUCCAGACUCCUACGGGAGGCAGCAGUAGGGAAUCUUCCGCAAUGGGCGAAGGCCUGACGGAGCAACGCCGCGUGAGUGAUGAAGGUCUUCGGAUCGUAAAACUCUGUUAUUAGGGAAGAACAAAUGUGUAAGUAACUAUGCACGUCUUGACGGUACCUAAUCAGAAAGCCACGGCUAACUACGUG